UACGUAGGGUGCAAGCGUUUAAUCGGAAUUACUGGGCGUAAAGCGUGCGCAGGCGGUUCUAUAAGACAGAUGUGAAAUCCCCGGGCUCAACCUGGGAACUGCAUUUGUGACUGUAGAGCUGGAGUACGGCAGAGGGGGAUGGAAUUCCGGCGUGGUAGCAGUGAAAUGCGUAGAUAUGCGGAGGAACACCGAUGGCGAAGGCAAUCCCCUGGGCCUGUA
rnacentral:rRNA from 1 species